rnacentral:ncRNA from 2 species
ACGAUCUGGAGAGAGGCGGCCAUGCCAAAUCAUCAGGCAUGACGACGCCCACCGAAGGGGAAGCUCGACGCUCUAAGGAGCCUCGGGGCAAGCUCUCAGGUACAGAGACAGAUGGGGAAAA